rnacentral:tRNA from 1 species
GGGGUUGUGGCCCAGCCAGGCAGGGCGACUGACUCCAGAGGCCACGCCCGGUGACGAACUCCAGACUGAUAUACCGAGCCGCCGUCUGAUCAACGGUCGGCGACGACGACCCUCUGGAGGACCGAGGCAGACCGGAGAUAUCAGUCAAUCGGGGGUUCAAAUCCCUCCAACCCCA